UCCCUGGUGGCUCAGAUGGUAAAGCGUCUGCCUACAAUGCGGGAGACCCGAGUUCGAUCCCUGGGUCGGGGAG
rfam:Ovis aries breed Texel chromosome 3, whole genome shotgun sequence.